AUUGAACGCUGGCGGCAGGCCUAACACAUGCAAGUCGAACGAGUGGCGGACGGGUGAGUAAUGUCUGGGAAACUGCCUGGUGGAGGGGGAUAACUACUGGAAACGGGAGCUAAUACCGCAUACCAUCGGAUGUGCCCAGAUGGGAUUAGCUAGUAGGUGGGGUAAGGGCUCACCUAGGCGAAGAUCCCUAGCUGGUCUGAGAGGAUGACCAGCCACACUGGAACUGAGACACGGGCCAGACUCCUACGGGAGGCAGCAGUGGGGAAUAUUGCACAAUGGGCGCAAGCCUGAUGCAGCCAUGCCGCGUGUGUGAAGAAGGCCUUCGGGUUGUAAAGCACUUUCAGCGGGGAGGCGUUACCCGCAGAAGAAGCACCGGCUAACUCCGUGCCAGCCGCCGCGGUAAUAC
rnacentral:rRNA from 1 species